GUUCCCUACGGGACGCAGCAGUGGGGAAUAUUGGGCAAUGGGCGCAAGCCUGACCCAGCAACGCCGCGUGAAGGAAGAAGGCUUUCGGGUUGUAAACUUCUUUUAAGAGGGAAGAGCAGAAGACGGUACCUGAGGAAUAAGCCACGGCUAACUACGUGCCAGCAGCCGCGGUAAUACGAAGGUGGCAAGCGUUAUCCGGAUUUACUGGGUGUAAAGGGCGUGUAGGCGGGAAAGCAAGUCAGAUGUGAAAACCACGGGCUCAACCUGUGGCCUGCGUUUGAAACUGUUUUUCUUGAGUACUGGAG
rnacentral:rRNA from 1 species